CCUACGGGAGGCAGCAGUGGGGAAUAUUGCACAAUGGGGGCAACCCUGAUGCAGCGACGCCGCGUGAGUGAAGAAGUAUUUCGGUAUGUAAAGCUCUAUCAGCAGGGAAGAAAAUGACGGUACCUGAUUAAGAAGCCCCGGCUAACUACGUGACAGCAGCCGCGGGAAAACGUAGGGGGCCAGCGUUAUCCGGAUUUACUGGGUGUAAAGGGAGCGUAGACGGCAACGCAAGUCUGAAGUGAAAUGCCGGGGCUUAACCCCGGAACGGCUUUGGAAACUGUGCAGCUAGAGUGAAGGAGAGGUAUGUGGAAUGCCUGGUGUAGCGGUGAAAUGCAUAGAUAUUAGGAGGAACACCAGUGGCGAAGGCGGCUUACUGGACUGUAACUGACGUUGAGGCUCGAAAGCGUGGGGAGCAAACAGGAUUAGAUACCCUUGUAGUC
rnacentral:rRNA from 1 species